rnacentral:rRNA from 1 species
GAUGAACGCUGGCGGCGUGCCUAAUACAUGCAAGUCGAGCGAAUGGAUUGAGAGCUUGCUCUUAUGAAGUUAGCGGCGGACGGGUGAGUAACACGUGGGUAACCUGCCCAUAAGACUGGGAUAACUCCGGGAAACCGGGGCUAAUACCGGAUAACAUUUUGAACCGCAUGGUUCGAAAUUGAAAGGCGGCUUCGGCUGGCACUUAUGGAUGGACCCGCGUCGCAUUAGCUGGUUGGUGAGGUAACGGCUCACCAAGGCAACGAUGCGUAGCCGACCUGGGAGGGUGAUCGGCCACACUGGGACUGAGACACGGCCCAGACUCCUACGGGAGGCAGCAGUAGUGAAUCUUCCGCAAUGGACGAAAGUCUGACGGAGCAACGCCGCGUGAGUGAUGAAGGCUUUCGGGUCGUAAAACUCUGUUGUUAGGGAAGAACAAGUGCUAGUUGAAUAAGCUGGCACCUUGACGGUACCUAACCAGAAAGCCACGGCUAACUACAUGCCAGCCGCCGCCGUAA